rnacentral:rRNA from 1 species
CGCGUAGGCGGUUUGAUAAGUCAGAUGUGAAAGCCCACGGCUUAACCGUGGAAGUGCAUUUGAUACUGUUAGACUUGAGUACCAGAGGGGAAAGUGGAAUUCCCGGUGUAGAGGUGAAAUUCGUAGAUAUCGGGAGGAAUACCGGUGGCGAAGGCGACUUUCUGGCUGGAUACCGACGCUGAGGCGCGAAAGCGUGGGGAGCAAACA